GGUGUCGUGGCCGAGUGGCUAGGCUUGGGUCUGCAAAACCUACUACAGCGGUUCGAAUCCGCUCGACACCU
rnacentral:tRNA from 1 species